UAAAUAUGCGUCUGUAUGGAGAUGUUGAUCAAUUGUUUCAUAUGUUGGAAAACAGACAGUGUCGCUGCUUUUGAAUAUUUUGGUGGAUGUGUUUGGGAAGAACUCACAGCUGUCAGCACCUAUUGAAGCAACGGAAAUAAGUGAUCUUAUCGACUUCCUGCAUCAUGUUAUUCAUUACGAGGUGGCAUCUAGUAAACCCAGAUCAGAAAUUCUGGCUCUUUUUGGAAGAGCAGCAGAAAAUUUGCGUCCAGAUGUUCAACAUCUUCUUUCCCACCUCAACACUGAUGUAAACACUUCGGUUUAUGCAAAAAUCGUCCACAAUGCUUAAGAAUCUGCUCCUACUGUUAGGUGGUUCCUUGCUUUAAUCUAGUUUGACAUGCCUCACUUUGUUAAUUUACUUCAUCUUAAUAAAUAAAUUAAAUUAACAAAACAUGAAGAGAGGAGACAAGUGU